CGGCACCCUCAGCCCCGCAUGGCGCCGGCUUCAUCCCUGCCCUGUGCCGGGGAGACAUCGCUCCUUUGGUCUCUGAGGUGGGACAGUGGCUGUGGAGAAGGCCGGGGUGCCGCUGCAGCGGCGCAGGGCACCACGGGCUCCUCAGGCCCAGCAGGCCGGCUGCUCCCAGCGGAGUCUGCCUCAGACGAGGAGACAAGAGGGAACCCGGCUGCCCCACGGAGCGGCCACAGGCACCAGGGCUGAUCUGAGAAUUCGAGAGGAAGGCAACAGCACAGGGAGAGAACUGAGCUGACCCUUUUUUCCCCUCACCAUUCACAUGCUCACAGAUUUUUAUCAGGCUUUUUAGCUGCAGGGCAAAGUGUUUCUUUAUAGUUCCUUCCAAAGCAAAGCUGCUGCCAGAUCUAGGCUGCGGCUUCAGCAGCUGUAUCCCAUCCCCCAGGCCUGCACGGCCCUGCUCGGGAGGGCCUGGGAGCCUUGCACGGGCCUGGCGGGAGGAGGGUUUGUGGACCCCGGUAGGGGCUCAGUGCCGGGGGCAUUUCCUGAGGGCUUUUGCCAGCCUUCGCCAAAGCGUUUACCAAACUGCACGUGGUAAUUUCGUUUACCAAAAUGCACAAGCUCAUGGCAAAAUCCCGCUGCGGGGACGGGGAUGUGGUGUGUGCAGCACAGGCAGAGACACCGCGGGCUCCCUUGGAUGCGGGAUGCAAGAUGCUGCGGGAUGCAAGAUGCAGGACUCAGGCUCCUCUCUUCCCCCCGGCAGGAACUACGAGUCGCUGAUGCUCGUGCGGUGCCGAGAGGCAGCAGAGGAGGGCCGGGUGUGAAAUCCACGGCUGUGGGAACCAGUGCUGCUCCCUCCUCCCACCGAGCCCAAGUGUCACAUUGGUGGCAUCCCAGCGCAGGGGCUGUGCAGCACCCACAGAUGGGGAGGUGCAUAGGCAAGCUGGCACGGAGCGGCUUUGCCCUCUCCCGGGGCUGACGACAAGCUGGUCACAUUCUUGAAGCCAGAAUAUGACACUUUUACAGCCUGCCUGGCGGUGACCUCUGGAAUUCCAGAAUAAUUUUCCCUCCCCUUCCUGGUGCCCUCACGUGACCCAGGAACACAAACAUCUGAGAGACCUCUGGGCAUCUUCACAUCUGCUGGUAGCAGUGACCUCCAGAAGCAUUUGGUUCUGCCAGAGCAAUGACAGCACCUCUGCCAUGACACUGCCAGCGGGAGAGCUAGAUGCAACCGGGAGUUGUUUGGUUUCCUGAGGAAAAGAGAACACUUCCAGAAACAAUUAAGCUGAAGGCAAAACCAGGUGGAGGGGGACAUGUGAGCCCUAGCAACCAUCACAGUAGGCAUGCUCUGUCCCUGGAAGAAGGGCAGGUGAGAAAAGCAAAUGGGCCCUGCUGUCUGGAUGAUGCCACACAAAACCCAUGGAGGAUAUACCCUUCAAAAUUGACAAAAAUAGCAUUCAGAGGCAGAGCAAUGGUAAGUUUUUUGGUGCAGAAAGUUAAAAAUAUGCUGUAUUAAUAUUUUAUAUAUACACACAUUUAUGCAAUGUGAUCAAAAUAGGCCAGUCUAUGGCUGACAUACAUAGUUCUAUCACAGCUAUAUAGGAUAUAUGAUACUGCACUCCAAAAGUGAGUUACUUGCACAAGUACUGAUGUCUUCAUUACAAGCAACAAAUGCCCUUGCAGAAUCAGACACCCAAAAUCACUCAUAGGUGCUUCUAUGAGGCUUGAUCACUAUGACUUGUUAUCUAAUUUUUUACUUUAAAAAUGCACACUGUCUUCUUUGUGAUGCAUUUUUCACUAUUUCAAUUUCCAUCUUUUUGGGAGAUCCUUAAUGUCCACAAUUUUGGUGGAGAUGCCGCCAAAAUUAAACUGAGUCAUGUUUCUUAGCACAGUUUAUAAAGAAAAAUGUUUAAUCUUCCAUGGCACACCUUAGAGCCUAACUGAAGAACAGCCUCAAACAUUGGUCUUUUGGUAAAGUACAAGUUUUAAAAACAGUAAUUUAACAGGGUUAUGAUGCAAACGCAUUUCUUUAACCUCCAUAAUUUUCUGGCAUUUCUCUGAGUUCAGUGAAUACACAUGAAGUGCUUGCACCCACAUCAGAGGCAUGCCAGAAAUGAAGCAUGUCCAGUCCUCUCUGGGACAAGUCCCCUGUCACCUUUCCUUGGGAGUGCCAGUCUGAAGACAGUUCCCUAAAACUCUGUUCUACCUUCAAGUCACCUUUUCCAACUAACCUAAUAUAGUGGAGAGAAGGGUGGGUUUCUGACAAAGUUUUGUCUCCCUUAUAAAGACAGGAAACCUCUCAAAGCUCUCCUAAAUAAUGUUCAUAUACUUCCAAGGACCAUGUUCACAUUUUACCACCAAACAAUUAUUAGAAAGCAAUGUUAUCUACAUACUCUGUUUCCCCACAGCUCCUCACAUGUAUGUCCCCAUUGGCUGAAUGCACCUGUGAUCACCCACAGCCACACCACAACCUCUCCUCCAAGGUGUGGCCCAGAAUAUCUAUCCCUAAAUGUGUCAUUCAUAGAAAGUUUUUAGAGUUCUUGUCAGGCUCCCACAAGUUUAAAAGGAUAUUUGGCUGUAUCAGAGGGAUGACAUAAAAAAGGAUGUCCAAGGUGGCUCAGACCAUUGGAGACAAGAAAGAUCUUGGCAUGUUCCCAGUUUAAAGAGUCUUUUACAGCAAUAGACUUUCCUCCUGAGAUAAUCCAGGUCUCUAUCAGUGAUGCAACCAAGAAAGCAUCACUGUUUAAAUUCAGCCAGUGAAUAGUGAGAGUAGCAGGACCAUGGCAAGGUGAAGGGAUUGACACCUACUUUGGGGUGAGAAAUGUCACAAGGUGUGUAUGUGUCCAUACACAGAAGGGCUGUGGUUUCUUAAGCUUCAGAGGGGCAUCCAGAGGUACUAUGACUUGCACUAGGAAAGACUUUGAUGUGUUGUAAUUUGGUUGCCUUCAGCAUGGAAAUCCUUGUUAUGGUGGUUCUGUAGCUUCAUUUGAAGGUGCUUUAAACCAUUUUAUUUUUAAGAUCUAUCAGAUAAAUGGUAGAACAAACCUUUGAGCUAGCUGGUAAUGCAUGCUUUAGGUUACUUUAUCUCUGGGAAUGGGCCAAAGUGGUUUCUGUCUGUGUGCGUGUGCCUGUGUAAUUAGCCCGCAAAUUCAGACUCAGAUAAAAAUAACUCGGCAAUGAAUGUAAAUUAUCAGGGCCACGAUACACAUGGCUCCUAAAAUGUGAUUCCCAUGCACUGAGAAAACAGGGAUUGUAAAAAGUUAGAGAAAUCUCAACUUUCAUUUCAAUCCCUGGAAAAUGCUCUGGGAGAACAUAGAUACUCCCUCACUUUAGUACCUUUCUAAAAAGGGCAGGAAAGCAGAAAAGCUGGACCAUGCCUGAGGAAGUGCCUAGGACACUAAAGCCGGUGGCAGAGUCUAGGCAGAUGUUGAGAAGGGAGGCCAUGGGUUGCAGAGGUUGCAGGUUUGGAAGCAGCUUGCUGCCAUGGAGGACCCAGCAGGGUGUGUGACAAUUCACACCUCCUAUCCCAGGCUCACCAGCAAAGAGCUCAAGAAAAGCCAAGCUCAGGUCAUCUGCUGACAGAGAAGACCUUUUAUAUCCCACCUGUCUGGAUUGCACAGGUGAGAGUCUGGGCACACUCAGGCUUUUGGCCACCCCUCCAAAGCACUUCAGGGACAUCAUUGCCCCAUAAGCAGCUCCAGGGCUUGCACCUCAGGUAGUGCCUACAACAUGUGGACAUUCCUUCCUGCAACCGGGCAGUCUUGUGCAUGCAGAGCAGCCUCCAGGAACCUCCACCCAGCAUUUUUUUUCCUUCCCUGCAACAUGCCAUGACUGUGGCCAGAAGUGCCUCCACAGAGAUGAUAGAAAACCUAUGAUGAUAUGGAAACAGAUCUUCAACUAUCCUCUUUUGUCUCUUCACAGGAACUAGGACACACUGUGGCAGUGCAAACUCCUGCUGCCACCAGUAGCCCUUGCUGCCACUGGAGUUGUACUGGCAUUAGUAAUGACAGAAAAAUUCAAGAGCCAUCUCUGGAGGGCAUUGUCCCAAGAUACUUUCUACUGAUACUUUCCCAGAAUGAGUUCAGAGGAGCUGUAAGCAGCCACUGUUGGCACACCUGGGCAAUGUCACAUGCUGUAGGGAGAUGCAAGGGAAUGGAAAUACAUGGAAACAUGAUGCUACCAGAAAGAACUAUAGCUGUAAAAUUUAAUAGUGUGAUUUGUGAAGCUGACAACACCCACCAUAAGUCACAAAAUAAAACAGAAAUGCACGGAAACUGUAAAUCUUUCUGAGCACAAUUGGUGUAAACCCUUGUUAAGUUUUAUCGCAAAGAAGUACAAACAUCAUAUAAAUUCCAAACAUCAUUUUCCUGUUCCUAGCCUUGUCUCUUCUCCAAGCAGUAGUCUGGAGCCCACCAGGGAAAGGACACUUUAUCUUUCCUCACUGCUUCUCACUCCACUCUUUUUAUCCUCUUCACCUUGUUUUGCACAGGGAGGUAACCCUUCUUUUGGAAUCCCAAGAGGAAAGGAACCAACACUUUCAAGACAGAUAACUUUUAAUACAGUAAGAGGUAGGAGACACGGAGUUAUAAAAACCAGCACCCUAUCCUGUGAUGGGGAGCUCACGAUGGUAAGAUGGGCUCUGGUCAGAGUGUGCAGCUCUAUGUUUCCAUGCACACUGACACUGCCCAGAUCAUGGUACAGGUUCAUUUGACUCUCAUGGGAAGAGAGGCUGAGUUCCAGACCAGCUGGGUGAAUCCCUGUCCAAGAUGGUUUUCCACUUAUCCUGUGUUUCUACAGCAGAGUGAUUGCUGACAUCAGGAACAUCAGAGAAGUCACAGCAGAGCAGCCCUGCUCUGCUGACUGGAGAAAGUGCCAAGCACAGAGAGGCUGACCUGUCCAUUCCAAAUCAAACCUCUCCAUUACCUCCUGUGGGUCACUGUCACACUGGGUAACAGGAUACAGCAGAUCUUGUGGGAGGAUGGGACCUAUGCAUGACCUAUGGCUUCAGCCCCAAAGAGUGGAUGGGAAUAGUGCUGAAAUCCUUUUGCAUCAUUUGACCUGUAACAGUCCAGCUGUAUAUAAUUUUCCUAUAGGAGAAGAAUAAAUAGAUGGCACUACUCAAAAACGUCCCAGAAUUUUGCAAGACAUUCAGUUCCAGGCUUUGAAAUACAAUCCACUUAAUCAACCAUUUUUCACUGGAAUGACACUGGGUCAGUCCAGUAGUUUUUGAGGUUUACACUCAGCUGUAGUUUUGCUUGGAAUGUGAACAUCACUAAUAAUAGAAUGGACAUCCCCAGCUAAUUUUUGAAAGGGAGAAAAUUGCUUGGUUUUCCCUCUAAUGAAUACCUCUGAGGUCCUGCACUAAAGAACUCUGAACACAGAAGGUUAUAAAAAAUAAAUUAGUUCUCUCCCUCCUUUUCUCCCUGCCAUCUCCAACAUUCUCACUCCCCAGUGCCAACUGCAUGCCACGGCAUUUUUAUACUCAGUCACCUACUUCAGGAAGGACAUAUUUUGAAGCCACCAUUGCACUUCCCACUGCUCAGCUAUGUAUACCUUCAUUUAUGAGCCAUGACAUGGGAUGUGGAUUUGUAUCCCAACAAAAACGUGCUGAGGGUCUCCAUGUGUACUUAACACCAUCCACUUACCACUCACACAGGUGAGCAGGGAAUGGAGUAAUUUGAUUCCCAGUAUGACCAGCACUGCCAGGCAAUGCUAGAGCACUGCUGUUCACUUGUUUGCAGAGCCUUGCACAAUGUUCAGGACCCCAGGCAGGGCCAUGGAGCAGUGGCCCCUGUGUGCAGGGUGAUGGGAUGUGCUGCAUGUGCCAUGCUGAGUCCUCUGCACCCAUGGGCACAGUGCAGCCUGAUAGGUGUGACAGUGGAGCACAGGAGCUGCUGGCCAGGGAGGAUCUCUUAUGAGUGGGUGCCUGAACAGUACCCCCUGGGCUCAUGCCUCAACACGUCAAUGACUGCCCAUGAGAAAGCAGCUUCUCACUAUCAAGUGUUCUGCUAGCAUGCAACUUAGUAAUGCUACCUAAGCCAAGGUUUCAGCAUGGCUGUUUAUGUACACACGUUGUAUCUCAGGUUUGCUAACUACAGAUUGUUCAAGAAGCUUUAUUGAUUUUUUGAAAGAAUAACUGUUAUUUGACCAUUUUAAAUGCUAAAUAUGAUCAAGGCUUAAUAUCAGAAUGAUGAUUGAGUUAUGUUAUUUUUCAGUGCAUUGUAAUUUAUGUAACAAGAUUGCAUCUAUUCAUCUUUUGGGUACUUUUGAAAUAGAAAUAUUGACAGAAAGCUAAGUAUUCUUAAGUGCAACAAAUUUACCCAAAAUUUCUAUGUAUGGUUUAUAUUUAAUUUCACAGUCAACUGCAAGCUGACUCCAAAUCAAUGAUCUGAUUUUCUUUCCACCUGUGUUUGCAGAUGCCAUAUGAACUAGUGGCUAAAGGAGAUAAGGAUGUAUUAAUGACUUUUUACAAGUCCCUGGUGAGAGUUUAUCUCAAAUGCUGUGUAUCACUUUGAUGUUCUCCUUUCAUGAAGGAAUUUGAGUUGGUGCCCACAACCAAGCAGAGUUAGAAUCAGUGACCCUGGAAUUAGCUUUCCAGUACUAUGUGCCAACUGGCAUAUGAGAAUGAACUGAAUUGAUUUAUUUUUCACAACUAUUCAAAUGAUUGCAAGAGCACAACCUCACUUCAAAGCAUACGCUAGAUUUAGCUGCAACUAUAGGGCAUCUCAUUUGGGUAAAAAAUACUGACUGGGAUAUAGACAAAGACACAGCUGUGUCUCUGGCAUUUGAAAAUGCAUUGCACUCGGGUCUUGGUGAGGUGAUUUCUCAGCUCCACUGAAUCACAGGUAGUCUUACCACUAGUUUUAAUGCAAGAUCAUCACUUCUAGAAUUAGCUGAAAUCUGUGCUAUUAUCCGUAUUUUCAAUUACAUUGUUGAGAUCAGAAUCUGGUCCUUGUUUUCCUUUUUGGUGAACUAAUAUAUUUAGAAGCAGAAUCUUAAAUUCCUCUAAAAGUUUGUAAAACUCACAUCUCCAGACCCUUCCGCAACAUCAAAUUCCCCGCUUAGCAUGCCAGCUCUCCCAAUGAAGAUUUUACUUCCAAGCCUUCUGCCCAAGAUCCCCUGAAAGGUCUAUUCCCAUUCAGGAUGGAGUGAGUGGAGUGACCCAGGGUGGAGCAAACUGCCUUGUGCUGACUGGUCCAUGAUAACCUCUAUUAAAAGUGCUGGUUCCUGUCCGUGUGCUGAGGGAGGCAGCAGUUUUUGCAAAGCAGCUACAGAGAGGCAGAUUGCCAGGAGGGAUGCAAGGCAUGGCAGACACAAGCUUCCAAGGACACCAGAAGCAGAGGACCCAAAAUAACUACUUGGAAUUGUUUAUGCCUGUGUCUGGCCUUGUUGGUUUUACUCUUUCAAAGCUCUUGGGCUUGAGGGGUGUUUGUAGCAUAUAACCCAAAGCAUCUCACCUAGUGACCAAUGUGUGGUACCAGCUAUCAUGGCCAUUUUGGCAAUGCCUCCCCAGACACCUGUGGGCAGGCUACUACUGCCAGGGAGCCUUCCCUCCUCGGGCACUGCACAGCAGAGCCUGCCUGCCUUGCUUCACCCCCUGCACUGCAUGCCUCAGAUUGCGCUGUGUGAGUACUCACGCGCACACACACACAUCCCUUCUCCCCUUUCACCUCCUCCCCUCGGGUCCAAAUGGAUCCAUGAGUCACUGAGGGAAGUGCACCUGAUGACCUCAGCCAUAGAACCAACAUGAAGCAUCAAAAAGCAACCUCAUGUGGGAGCUGGGGACCAAGCUAGCUGAAGCCUAACUGGUGAGAUAUUCAUAUCUGGGGUUUUAUCCACUUUCACAGCAUUUUCCAAGCAAUAGCAGUUCUUCACUGUAGGAGUUUGACAGAUAUUCAGACUUCGAAGAGGUACAUAAAAAUUUACAUCUGGGACAUUAUGUGAUAUGUCUGACUGAACAAAAUGCAAAUAACUGAAUUGUCAGAGAUGGAAAGAUUAUUUAAAGCUUAAAGGUUGCUUUUAAUCUACAGAUGUAUCUGGCAUUGAUUGGAAUAAAGAAGUUUAAUAUGAUCAGAAGCAGAAGCAUGAACUUUUGCUAUUGGUACUGUUUGUGCAUCAUUAAAAGGGAUGGAGAAAAUAAUUCUGGAAAAAUUAAAUUGUCAUAAAUACCAACAAUAUUUCAGUGACCAUGUGAGAAUGCGUGUUGGUGUAUUUAAAUUGGUCAAGAGUUUCUUGAAUGUUUUCUGAGGCAGGA